rnacentral:rRNA from 1 species
ACGAACGCUGGCGUCGUGCUUAACACAUGCAAGUCGAACGGAAAGGCCCUGCUUGCAGGGUCCUCGAGUGGCGAACGGGUGAGUAACACGUGGGUGAUCUGCUCUGCACUUCGGGAUAAGCCUUGGAAACUGGGUCUAAUACCGGAUAGGAGCCAUUUUUAGUGUGAUGGUUGGAAAGUUUUGUCGGUGUAGGAUGAGCUCGCGGCCUAUCAGCUUGUUGGUGGGGUAAGGGCCUUCCAAGGCGGCGGCGGGGAGCCGGCCUGGGAGGGUGGACGGCCACAUUUGGACUGAGAUACGGCCCAGACUCCUACGGGAGGCAGCAGUGGGGAAUAUUGCACAAUGGGCGCGAGCCUGAUGCAGCGACGCCGCGUGGGGGAUGACGGCCUUCGGGUUGUAAACUCCUUUCGCUAGGGACGAAGCUUUUUGUGACGGCACCUAGAUAAGAAGCACCGGCUAACUACGUG